rnacentral:lncRNA from 1 species
AAAGAAUGAGCAAACCAAUAUCAGGUAUCAAGCAUAUUUUUCUUUUACCUGGUUGGUUAAAAGUAUCUAAUUUUUUUCUAUAUAUCCAUGACAUGGACUGAAAAUGACAUUGUAUUUUAUGGCAUGUGAUUUUGUAUAUUGACAGCUAGUUUUUCGUUCUGGAAAAUAUACUUCUGUCCUGGAGCAUACGGAAAACUGUAUUUCAUUGGGGUUAUCACGAUGCAAUGCAAUGUUGGGCAGUGAUGUAGAGUGGUCCACCAAUGGAGCCAUGUCCUAAUCUGGUGGGUUAACUAUUUCUCCACUGUCCGGCAUUUCAUUGAGGAAUGAUGACCUCAUGGAAUAUGCUUUACCAUGGUCCAAUUUGUAGUCUACUUCACUUUUUCUUCUUUCAACACCAGUCGAAUGUUCCAGUUUUGCUCGUUGGUUUGAUUGACUUUAUGACAUGUGAAGAAAAUAUUUGGUUACAGGAAACAACCAAAUAUGUUGAGACCCAAAUGAACAAUGUCGGUGACAAUGUUCGUAGAUUCUAUGAGGAAGUUAUGCAAGAUUUGCUUCCUCCAUCUUCUGAGGAUCCGAUUUGCCUGCACCCUUCUGUCCCCUUAGAUGAAGGCUUUGUGCCGCGUCCUGAGGAUUCGAUUAGGCUGCACCCUUCUGUCCCCUUGGAUGAAGGCUUUGUGCUGUCUCCUGAGGAUCCGAUUAACCUGCACCCUUCUGUCCCCUUGGAUGAAGGCUUUGCAACACAAGAUACUGAUAAAGAAAAGGUGGAGUCUGUAAU